UUGGCAUCGGCGGUUGAGCCAAAUGGGGACUCGUGGUGCAAGCAACGCUCCCCACGUGUUAGCGUGCGUGAGAUGCGGUUGGCGGAAUUUUACUAGGUGCGUGUUGGUAGAGUGGGGCUGAGGUUUUCUUGCUCCUGUGGAUGUAUAGCAAGUCAAAGGUCCUGCCCAGCCCUGCGGUCCCCUCAGUCAACUCUGUUUCGGAGACGUAACGAUUUGGAUUGCCA
rnacentral:lncRNA from 1 species